AUCUACAGCACAUGGGCAAGCAGCCUGAAGCACAACGCCCGACGCACAAAGCCUGGCUGUCUUCCUGCCGCCACUGGAGUCCCUUCCUGCGAGUGAGCUGCUCGCCCUCUUCUUUCUCUGCUCUGGAUCUGCCACCACGAACUGAAGGGCCACUGGAGCUGGGGGGUCUACAGCCCUGAUUUACCAUUCCAGAGACAGAUGAGUGAACCUACUCAGGACCCCACUGGAGUUAAGGGAUCUCGUGCACUGCACUUUGCAGGAAGAGGGCCGCAACUUGCUCUCUUCCUGCCGUCACACAUUCUCAUGAUUUCUUCAUGCAAGGAUUUGGGGGAAUACACACGGCUCCUCCUUUCCACCAGCUGCCUGAGAACUUCACCUCAGCGGAGGGGAGUUGUACCUUUUCUGCCGGAACCUGAAAUUCUCAACUUUCCAGGUCCUUUGCAAUCUACAGCACAUGGGCAAGCAGCCUGAAGCACAACGCCCGACGCACAAAGCCUGGCUGUCUUCCUGCCGCCACUGGAGUCCCUUCCUGCGAGUGAGCUGCUCGCCCUCUUCUUUCUCUGCUCUGGAUCUGCCACCACGAACUGAAGGGCCACUGGAGCUGGGGGGUCUACAGCCCUGAUUUACCAUUCCAGAGAUGAGUGAACCUACUCAGGACCCCACUGGAGUUAAGGGAUCUCGUGCACUGCACUUUGCAGGAAGAGGGCCGCAACUUGCUCUCUUCCUGCCGUCACACAUUCUCAUGAUUUCUUCAUGCAAGGAUUUGGGGGAAUACACACGGCUCCUCCUUUCCACCAUCUGCCUGAGAACUUCACCUCAGCGGAGGGGAGUUGUACCUUUUCUGCCGGAACCUGAAGUUCUCAACUU